rnacentral:rRNA from 1 species
AGUGAACGCUGGCGGUAGGCCUAACACAUGCAAGUCGAACGGCAGCACAGUAAUAGCUUGCUCUUACAGGUGGCGAGUGGCGGACGGGUGAUAAAUACAUCGGAGUCUACUUUUUCGUGGGGGAGAACGUAGGGAAACUUACGCUAAUACCGCAGACGACCUACGGGUGAAAGCAUGGGAUCUUCGGACCUUGCGCGAUUGAAUGAGCCGAUGUCGGAUUAGCUAGUUGGCGGGGUAAAGGCCCACCAAGGCGACGAUCCGUAGCUGGUCUGAGAGGAUGAUCAGCCACACUGGAACUGAGACACGGUCCAGACUCCUACGGGAGGCAGCAGUGGGGAAUAUUGGACAAUGGGCGCAAGCCUGAUCCAGCCAUACCGCGUGGGUGAAGAAGGCCUUCGGGUUGUAAAGCACUUUUGUUGGGAAAGAAAAGCAGCAGGUUAAUACCCCGCUGUUCUGACGUUACCCACAGAAUAAGCACCGGCUAACUUCGUG